AUGACAGCAUUAUGUAGUCACUACCAAAAUGUAAUGGCUUCAAGACUGGGGGGAAAGCCAUCUGGUCCUUUGCAGAGGAGUUUGCCUACUCUUCUUCUAAAGGAUGAAGCCCCAAGGAAGUCUGGACACACAGCUUUCAGAAGGGUUCUCAGAGGGCAGAUCAAUGAAGAAUUUUGCUGUGUGGCUGACUGCACAUCCUCUCUCAAGCGUGCAUAUUCAUCUUUAAGGAGCUGAUCAAUUCAUUUCAAGACAUCAUUCUUCCAAAGCAAAGCAGGGGCUGAUAAACAACACUCCAAUGGUGGCUUGGAGAUGAUGUGAAUCCUACAUACAAAUGAGGAAAAUCUUAUAUAUAAGUGAAGAAACUGACCCUCCAACAGCUAAACUUACUUGUGUUCACAGACCUGGCAAGAAAAGCAUAGAGUGCAGAUGGAAACACAAGUCUUCCUGAAUACCAAACCUAUGCACUCACCCACCCACAACAAGGGGUUCUGGGUGUGAGGAAGGCUUUGCUUAGGAGGCAGUAGCCAAUUGGAGGUCUUGUGUUCUGCUUCAUACAUGGCCUCUUAGACUGAAGGCUUUAGUUUGGGGUUGCUUUUGGUGUUUCAUCACAGUGACAAAAAGACCAACUACUACAAGCCCUAAGAGUUAUCCUGAGUGUCCUUACAAGAGAAACAGAGAGAUACAUGGUGAAGACACAGGUAGAUGAAGGGUAAGGUGACGUGGCCAUGGAGAGAGAGAUGCAGACAUAAGCUGAGAGCUGCUGGCAGCUACCAAAGACAAAUGCAAAGAAAGACUCUCGAGUGAACGUGACCUUGAAAAUAUGAUUUCAGAGUCUUAAAGCCUAGGCUGGAAGUUGAGGCUAUUUCCUACUGCUUUUGCUGCUUCCAGUCAGCCAGACCUAAGGCAGGACUCCCCCUUUCAAAUUCCCACACUCUGCCAUCCACUGUGAUUACCAACUGUGAAUAAAACAAAUGACCGCU